AUUGAACGCUGGCGGCAUGCCUUACACAUGCAAGUCGAACGGUAACAGGUCUUUCGGGAUGCUGACGAGUGGCGAACGGGUGAGUAAUACAUCGGAACGUGCCUAGUAGUGGGGGAUAACUACUCGAAAGAGUGGCUAAUACCGCAUGAGAUCUAUGGAUGAAAGCAGGGGACCUUCGGGCCUUGUGCUACUAGAGCGGCCGAUGGCAGAUUAGGUAGUUGGUGGGAUAAAAGCUUACCAAGCCUACGAUCUGUAGCUGGUCUGAGAGGACGAUCAGCCACACUGGGACUGAGACACGGCCCAGACUCCUACGGGAGGCAGCAGUGGGGAAUUUUGGACAAUGGGCGCAAGCCUGAUCCAGCAAUGCCGCGUGCAGGAUGAAGGCCUUCGGGUUGUAAACUGCUUUUGUACGGAACGAAAAGUCUUGGGUUAAUACCCUGGGAUCAUGACGGUACCGUAAGAAUAAGCACCGGCUAACUACGUGCCAGCAGCCGCGGUAAUACGUAGGGUGCAAGCGUUAAUCGGAAUUACUGGGCGUAAGGCGUGCGCAGGCGGUUUUGUAAGACAGUGGUGAAAUCCCCGGGCUCAACCUGGGAACUGCCAUUGUGACUGCAAGGCUGGAGUGCGGCAGAGGGGGAUGGAAUUCCGCGUGUAGCAGUGAAAUGCGUAGAUAUGCGGAGGAACACCGAUGGCGAAGGCAAUCCCCUGGGCCUGCACUGACGCUCAUGCACGAAAGCGUGGGGAGCAAACAGG
rnacentral:rRNA from 1 species